ensembl:snRNA U6 U6 spliceosomal RNA
GUGCUCACUUUGGCAGCACAACUACUAACAUUGGAACAAUACACAGAGGAUCAGCAUGGCCCCUACACAAUGAUGCCAUGCAAGUUCGUAAAGCGUUCAAUGUUUUU